rnacentral:lncRNA from 1 species
UAAUAUUACUACUACUACUACUUUUCUUUUUUCUCUUCUUUUUUUCUUCUUUUUUCCUUUUUUUUUUUCUUUUCUUCUUUUCUUCAUUUUCUUUAUUAUUAUUCCAGCGGUCGGAAGAGGGGCGCGCCUUCGGCGCGCUUAGGGGGCGCAUCUGCCAAUGGCAGAUUGGCCUUAUGGUCAGUCCGACCCUGCAAACUAAGGAUAUUGCGCGCUAAGGAAAUUUAAAAAAUUACUUUUUCAAGUACCUACCAUGAUUUUCGUAUUCUUUUACGUACAGAAAAUCUACGCUUUUGGCUUUAUAUCUAGCGUGCAGCAGACAUUUUAUGAUGAUUUGAAACUCGCAAAAUUGGGACAGGGAGCAAAUAAUCAGCUAUCUAGGUCUCAUUGAUCUUCACAGACAUUUUUUGGCACCGAAUUUGCUGCAUGACAUUCAGCGCCUUUCUUUGUAACUUUAAGCAAAUAUGAGAAAGUAGAGUCUUUUUUUAUGCUAACUUCUUUUUCAAUAAAAUAUUUUCAUUUUCUGUUCCAGGUAAGCAUUCAUUCAUCUACCACGACUUAGUCUGCAAGAUUCAUCAGUUACACUGCUUCUGACCGACGAUUUGAAGAGAUGUUUUUCGUAUCGCCUCAAGUGGGACUCCCUUACAGCAGAAAACGUAUGACGCAGAUAUUGCCUCGGUCACCUUCCACUCAGUUGCAUCAUAACCUCCCGGGGAGACUAUGCCUCAUCUACAGAACUCAGCGUCAUCUGUUCCAUUGUCCUUCACCUUG